rnacentral:rRNA from 1 species
GACGAACGCUGGCGGCGUGCUUAACACAUGCCAGUCGAACGGAAAGGCCCUGCUUUUGUGGGGUGCUCGAGUGGCGAACGGGUGAGUAACACGUGAGUAACCUGCCCUUGACUUUGGGAUAACUUCAGGCAACUGGGGCUAAUACCGGCUAGGAGCUCCUGCUGCAUGGUGGGGGUUGGAACGUUUCGGCGGUUGGGGAUGGACUCGCGGCUUAUCAGCUUGUUGGUGGGGUAGUGGCUUACCAAGGCUUUGACGGGUAGCCGGCCUGAGAGGGUGACCGGCCACAUUGGGACUGAGAUACGGCCCAGACUCCUACGGGAGGCAGCAGUGGGGAAUAUUGCACAAUGGGCGGAAGCCUGAUGCAGCAACGCCGCGUGCGGGAUGACGGCCUUCGGGUUGUAAACCGCUUUCGCCUGUGACGAAGCGUGAGUGACGGUAAUGGGUAAAGAAGCACCGGCUAACUACGUG